CCAAGAUUGUGCUGCUGCACUCCAGCCUAGGUGACAGAGGAGACUGUCUAAAAAAAAGAAAGAAAAAAUGCUACCUCUUGUGAAACCAUUCCUGGCCUGUUUCCAAAUAGGUUUAGUUACUGCCCACCCCCAACCUUCUUACAACGUGGUCACUAUUUCUAUCACUGUCUCUCUAGACAAUGAGUUCAUUUUAAGAGCCUCAUUAUUUACCUCUGUCUACAAAGUCCAUUGGAUGCCUGGCACAUAUUGGGUGCUCGGGUUUGCUUAAUCAGCAAAUGCUCCUAACAGUAUGUUAAGAGCGUGGGGCUAUGAAGUCAUGCCCCAUUCCCCUCAUGGCUUUGUCUUCAGUCCUCCCAGUCUCAAGAUUCUGUCCCCCAUCAGAUCUACAUCUGCCUCCAAAAUGUGCCUACCUUCCUUUUUUGGGAAGGAGUUUCCCUUGGACUUUCACUAGUGUCUAUGUGACAGGGCCUUUGGUUUGUCCCAAACAUGCUCCUUCUGGCUUUGUGGCAAUCCUUCAUUCAAGGAUUCUGGGAUCUCCUUCUUUAUUCCCUUCCUGAGUUCAUACAUGCUGAUCUGUAGGCUCUGCAAGGACACUGUUAUGGCCAACACAUAGUAGGUGCUCGUUAAAGCCAUGUUAAGUGAACACAUGAAUGGUCCCUUCUCUUCUGGGGUGUAAUGGAAUGCUCAGUAGACUUGGAAUCAGAAGACAAAGAUGCUGCCACUCUGGCCGUGGCUGUGGGCAAGCCAUUUCAAAUGUCUGAGCUUUUGCUUCCUUGCCUUUAAAUUGGGGAUAGUGCCUGUACUUCACAAGGAUACAAAGGAUGAAUGGAGAUGAAAGUGCCUAAAACACAACCAACCACAAAGCUCACGAGCAUUUCAUUCAUUCUCAGCCUCCUCCAUCAAGUGUAAAGAGGGUUCAUCUCCACGGUCAUCCUCCUUCUGCUCUUUUAAGUAUCUGGUCCAAAAUGACUUCUGCCCAGGGUCCCUUGUAGCAUGCAGGAACAGAAUGAUGUGGAAGCAAGCCAGUUUUGAAUUCUGACAGUCACUUCCAAGCUGUAGAAUUUGGACCUGUCUGCCUACCUGUAAAAGGAACAUAACAGCACCUACCUCAUAGAGUUGCUGUGAAGAUUAAAUGAGAUGUGUGUCAAGUGAAUUAGAUGACAUUCAAAAUUUGAGUGAACCUGAUGAACCUGAGUGCCCCUGAAAACCAAGUGAUCAUGCUGCCCUCUUGUGGACAAGAGGGCACAUAGCUCAGCAAAGGCACCCGCAAAGUGUUCCGGUGAGAGAAAUCAAACCACACAUAAGGAACUUCUCUCCUCUACUAGGGAGCUCAUGAACUACCCUGAAAUAUUUCAUCAUCAACUAGACAAGAAAUUUUCAGACAUUGAUGCACUUGUUAAAAUGCAGAUCAGUUCUGAUUCAAUAGGUCUGACAUGGGGACACAGUUCUCUAACGAGCUUCCAAGAGAUACUGAUGCUAUUGGCCCACAGACGGCCCUGAAUAAAGUUCCUA
rnacentral:lncRNA from 1 species